rnacentral:rRNA from 1 species
UGGGGAAUAUUGCACAAUGGGCGCAAGCCUGAUGCAGCCAUGCCGCGUGUGUGAAGAAGGCCUUCGGGUUGUAAAGCACUUUCAGCGAGGAGGAAGGUGGUGAGCUUAAUACGCUCAUCAAUUGACGUUACUCGCAGAAGAAGCACCGGCUAACUCCGUGCCAGCAGCCGCGGUAAUACGGAGGGUGCAAGCGUUAAUCGGAAUUACUGGGCGUAAAGCGCACGCAGGCGGUUUGUUAAGUCAGAUGUGAAAUCCCCGGGCUCAACCUGGGAACUGCAUUUGAAACUGGCAAGCUAGAGUCUCGUAGAGGGGGGUAGAAUUCCAGGUGUAGCGGUGAAAUGCGUAGAGAUCUGGAGGAAUACCGGUGGCGAAGGCGGCCCCCUGGACGAAGACUGACGCUCAGGUGCGAAAGCGUGGGGCAGCAAACAGGAUUAGAUACCCUGGUAGUCCAGCGCUGUAAAACGAUGUCGAUUUGGAGGUUGUGCCCUUGAGGCGUGGCUUCCGGAGCUAACGCG